rnacentral:rRNA from 1 species
AACGAACGCUGGCGGCAGGCCUAACACAUGCAAGUCGAGCGAAGCCUUCGGGCUUAGCGGCGGACGGGUUAGUAACGCGUGGGAACGUGCCCUUCACUACGGAAUAGUCCCGGGAAACUGGGUUUAAUACCGUAUACGCCCUUCGGGGGAAAGAUUUAUCGGUGAAGGAUCGGCCCGCGUUAGAUUAGAUAGUUGGUGGGGUAACGGCCUACCAAGUCGACGAUCUAUAGCUGGUUUGAGAGGAUGAUCAGCAACACUGGGACUGAGACACGGCCCAGACUCCUACGGGAGGCAGCAGUGGGGAAUCUUAGACAAUGGGCGCAAGCCUGAUCUAGCCAUGCCGCGUGAGUGAUGAAGGCCUUAGGGUCGUAAAGCUCUUUCGCCAGGGAUGAUAAUGACAGUACCUGGUAAAGAAACCCCGGCUAACCGUGCCAGCGCCGCGGUAA